UUCGAGUAGUCGUUUGAUUAAAGAACAUAUUGUUUUAUUUCCAGCGUGGUAAGAACGCUGAACGCGCACAUUGUGCGUCACAACUUGCAAAACAACUAAGCACACGUUUGAGUUGAACUUGAACAUAAAAAGGGGUUCUUGGAAGAGAUUAGGCUGCCGCAUAGACGUGUGAUCAAGUUUUGUUGCUGGUAACAGAUCUAUUCAGCUCCUACUUACUUACAAUGACCGAUUGAAUUUCAAGGAAAGUGCUCGAGUGUGAACGGGCAGAAUGAGUGGGGGCAGGAUGAAGACACAGACAGUCCACCGUAAGGUUGGCAUAAGGACAGGGAAAACCUGAUCAGCAUUCCUAAUCAACGCUUGAUGGAUGUGGGCCCUUGUCUGCAAGACUACAGAAUGGCCAGAGGUGAAGUAGGAUUAUUGAAACAACAAUUUUCCAGCUUUCUGUUCAUGUUUCUUCCAAUCAAGGGAGUGAUGGAAUCCCCUGUGAAAAAUUAGGUUAAUGGAGGAAAAUGUAAAAAACAGUAUUUUGUGAAAGUACAUAAAAUCUUACAAUUGAUUUUUUACAAUGGACACUUGGCCAAGAAGACCACACAAUAAUACAAAAAGUUACAAAAAAGCGACACAAAUACAAAGUUACAAAAUAACAGACAUCAGUUAAAUAAAAACAAAAAAUACAUACAGUCAAAAAAUAAUUAGACACUUCCAGCAUCACUUCCUGAAUUGUAGAAUAUAAAUUAAUUCAGUGAAAUUAAGCUUUCAAUGCAGAUUACUUUUGAAAGUUGCCAGGACAACGGAUCCAGGAAGUCAAUCCAACUUCUGUUUUUGCUGUAACCUGGAAUUCAAGAAAGCAUUGUGCAUGCAGAUUGUAAGAACU